UCACACUAGGAAACCAGUUUGUUUGGCUUUAAAUGAAAUGGAAUGCUUUUUUAUCUUCGAUUUCUGAUGCUUUCUUUCCAGUUAACCUCCUCCGGCCUAUUAUUAAACAUAAAAUUCCUUUCUGCCGAAAUGAGUACCUCCUGUGCUACUAACCAACUCUUUCUACGCAUCGUAUGACCUAAAUGAAAGGACCACGCGGUGUUUUGAUCGAUUUAGCACCUGAAGAUGUUUAAAUCUAUUGAUUGUUGGUUGUUAGCAACCCCCGGUGAAGCCUUCAACUUUCUCCAGUCCCUAUUCAUUUACUAUGAGUCAUACAUACCAUCUGGGUUGGGGUCAUCGACCCUAAUGCUACCACAACAAUCUUAUAUUUCUUCGAUCCUUAUAGUCUCUCCCACCUGGUCUAUUCAUUUCGAGCAGCGCAUGACCACUUCUUUACCUUCUUUAAUCUGGUAAAUCUUCAGAUACUAUACCCCUUCCCCUCCAAUCAUUUGGAAAUGCUGACACCUAUUGAAUUUUUUUUUACCUUGGAGGAAUUAGAUUUCGUGUAAGAUAUUGUGCAAAUAACAGGAUUGCUCGUCUUUAUUUUUUUCCCUUUCUCUUUGUAUAACUUUUUUUUUUUUGUUUGGAAAUAAAAGCUUGAGGGAAAGAUUGGGUUGAAACAAUCUAGAACUCAGCAAUAAGAUAAGGGGAAAAAAUACUAUCUUUUCUAAACUAUACAAUAACAUAUAAUGACUAUAUAGCGAUAUAAAUGACCUUUUUCAAUAUUUUUUGUCUUCAUCAUUAUAUUAUUAUCCAAUUUUUUAAGCAC
rnacentral:lncRNA from 1 species